CGGGGCGUAGCGCAGCCUGGUAGCGUACAUGCAUGGGGUGCAUGUGGUCGGAGGUUCGAAUCCUCUCGCCCCGACCA
rnacentral:tRNA from 2 species